GACCAAGUAAAAAUUAAAGGGUAAAAUGGAAUGCCAUAUAAUGAUGAGGCAGUAACUGCAACACUGGAAAUCCUAACUGAUAUACCAGCUCUUCCCGAAACAGUGACAGAAAGCUAAAGGGAACUGUGUGACUAUGGCAAUGACCGUCAAUGUUUUUGUAGACACAGUUGUUGAAGCUGACUGGCGAUAUUCUAAUUCUAACCUCAACCUGUCACAUGAAUUUGGACAAAUUAGUUAACCUGUCUGUCUCAGUUUUCUCUUCUAUACAAUGAGGGAUAUGCAUGAUAUCCAUUUCAAAGGGUCUUUUAAAGACUAAGUAAAUCAAUUCAAGUAAAGGACUUAGAAGAAUGCUUGAGGCACAUGCACUUGAGGAUCAUUAGCGAUUGUUAUUCUCCAGAUCUAAUGGCCAAUCUGGUUGGGAUGGUGACCAUCCUCUUUCUCCCUGAGCACUCCUUUCCUGGCCAGCCAGAUGAUCCAAGUUAAUGCUGGCCAACUCCAAGAUGCUGUGUAUUUGGUCAGAGAAGACCUCCUUUCCAGUGGUGGGAGACAGUUCUUUAGGAGUUAACACCUGUGUUCAAGCCUCUUAAGAGCAGGUGGCAAUAGCCUAGUUUCCUUGCUGAGAUGUGGCUAGAAAGUACUAUCGCUGUGCUGGAACUCUUAAACCAA
ensembl:lncRNA CR1-AS1 CR1 antisense RNA 1